rnacentral:rRNA from 1 species
CCCUUAGAUGUCCUGGGCUGCACGCGCGCUACACUGACACGUUCAACGAGUUUUGCCUGCUCCGAUGGGACUGGGUAAUCUUAUGAAAGCGUGUCGUGAUGGGGAUAGAUUAUUGCAAUUAUUAAUCUUCAACGAGGAAUGCCUAGUAGGCGCAAGUCAUCAGCUUGCGUCGAUUACGUCCCUGCCCUUUGUACACACCGCCCGUCGCUCCUACCGAUUGGGUGUGCUGGUGAAAUGUUCGGAUCGGCCGUUUGUCGCGGUUUCCGCGUCAUGUGGCUGAGAAGUUCAUUAAACCCUCCCACCUAGAGGAAGGAGAAGUCGUAACA